AUGAGGCCUAAGACAGGCCAGGUGGGCUAUGAGACCCCCAGGGGGCAGAGCCCUGGCCCCAAGCAGCUCUGGCCCCUGCUGUUGCUGGGCUUGGCCAUGGGCGCCCAUUGCCAGCUGCCCCCAACGACAGCAGCACCACCAAGCAGGGUCCCAGGCCCUGGAGCCCCAGCAGGAAGCAGCCCUCGGAGCCUAUGGGACAGGUUCCUGUUCUGGCCUGGCCCCCACGGGGCAGGCCCCAGGUGCUGGCCCGGUGGGUUUUGGUCCGAAACUCAAUCACCCUGGCUUGUUUUCAGUGAAGGAACCCAGCUCACCGUCCUAGGUCAGCCCAAGUCCGCACCCUUGGUCAUGCUCUUCCUGCCCUUCUCUGAGGAGCUCAGAGCCAACAAGGCCAUCCUGGUGUGCCUCAUCAGUGACUUCUACCCUGGCAACUUGACGGUGACCUGGAAGGCAGAAGGGACCCCUGUCACCCAGGGCGUGGAGACCACCAAGCCUUUCAAACAGAGCAACAACAAGUAUGUGGCCAGCAGCUACCUGAGUCUGUCACCUGACAAGUGGAAAUCUUAUAGCAAUUUUACCUGCCAGGUCACACACGAGGGGAGCACCGUGGAGAAGAGGGUGGUGCCCUCAGAGUGCUCUUAG